GUCACGUGCUUUCGCUUUGCAGUACAUUUUCGGAUAGGAUUUUACCGAUUUUUUUUAAUUUAGGGCCAAUGGCGAUCGACAGCGAAACCCCUGUUGUCAGGCUAACACAAUAAUGCUGCCCAUCGCCAGCUGCUAGAUGUCGAUGUAUGGCGAGUCCUGGUGGUCACAUGCUGGUCACAUGACCCGACAACACGCCUCCUGUCUGGACACCGACAACAAGAAUGGAUGGUGGCAAUAUCCUGGGCCUUUCUGUCAAGAAAUAGAUGUGAAUAAAAAUAUUAUUUAAUUGAACCUGGAAAUCAACCACCACAACUAACAGAAAACAUUUUUACAAAAGGUGUUGUUUUAGAAUUUGUGAAAUUUGAUAACAAACAGAAGUUGAUGUAUAUCAUGUCCAAAUGACCAAAUGUAUAAACUGUUUAACAAUUUGAAUUGAGAUGCUUUAUUUUCUGAUGUUUGAUUUAUUUUUCCUUUCAGAUGAUAUAUAUUUGUGUGAUUCUAGGUUUUAAUAAAUAAUUCUGAAACAUUUAUGCAGCAUACUGUUACAUUAUUGUUAACAUUAUUAUAUUAUGUUGUUUAUCUGGUUUAUCAAGUGGAAAAAAUGUUAUUAAUAUAAAAAUAAAGCUUUUAAUAUUAAGACUUAUGAAGGUACUUAUUGUUAUUUAUGUAUUAACAUACGUCUCAGAGUAAUAAAAAUAUAGUAAAUGCCAUUAUUCAUUAAUGUAGUAUUAAAGGUUCCUUAAAUGAUUGUCCUUAUUAAGUUUGAAUUACGGGCGGUUUUCACACCGCAAUAAAGUGGUGACAACUUUUUUUGGGCCAGUG